UGGCUCUCGCAUCGAUGAAGAACGCAGCGAAAUGCGAUAAGUAAUGUGAAUUGCAGAAUUCAGUGAAUCAUCGAAUCUUUGAACGCACCUUGCACUCCUUGGUAUUCCGAGGAUGUAUGCCUGUUUGAGUGUCAUUAAAUUCUCAAAUAAUCUAGUCUUUUUCAAAAGACUAUGGUUACUUUGGAUGUGAGGGUUUAUGCUGGCUUUUCAAAGUCUUAGCUCCCUUUAAAUAUAUUAGUGAGAUUAGCUUUUUCUAUUCACUAGAGUGUGAUAAUAUCUACGCUCGUUUGAAUGCAAGAGCAAUUUAAACUCGCUUCUAAUUUGUCUUAUUCAGACAACUUUUUAACCAAUCGACCUCAAAUCAGGUAGGACUACCCGCUGA
rnacentral:misc_RNA from 1 species